rnacentral:rRNA from 1 species
AUGAACGCUGGCGGCGUGCCUAAUCCCUGCCAGUCGAGCGCACGGACGAGAAGCUUGCUUCUCUGAUGUUAGCGGCGGACGGGUGAGUAACACGUGGAUAACCUACCUAUAAGACUGGGAUAACUUCGGGAAACCGGAGCUAAUACCGGAUGAUAUUUUGAACCGCAUGGUUCAAAAGUGAAAGACGGUCUUGCUGUCACUUAUAGAUGGAUCCGCGCUGCAUUAGCUAGUUGGUAAGGUAACGGCUUACCAAGGCAACGAUGCAUAGCCGACCUGAGAGGGUGAUCGGCCACACUGGAACUGAGACACGGUCCAGACUCCUACGGGAGGCAGCAGUAGGGAAUCUUCCGCAAUGGGCGAAAGCCUGACGGAGCAACGCCGCGUGAGUGAUGAAGGUCUUCGGAUCGUAAAACUCUGUUAUUAGGGAAGAACAUAUGUGUAAGUAACUGUGCACAUCUUGACGGUACCUAAUCAGAAAGCCACGGCUAACUACGUG